UUGCUUGAACAAGACCAAAAGGUAGCAUUGUACAAGAGUUUAAAAACAAAUCAAACUACGCAACUGUACUUUCAAUCUCUCACAUGAACAAGAGUAUGCCGUUACAUGUAUAUGUAUAAUCAGAUCCCAAAUUCAUUAAACUUCAGCAAAAUGCAUGGUCACAAACUCUGAUUACUCCCUCCCCCUAACCACAGGGAGUAAGUUUCUUAUUGCCUGCACCUCGAGGAUUGUCGUCCUUCCAGUCGUCCCAUGCCCUAGCCUUCUCCUGAGCAGCAUCAUCGUCUUCAUCUUCGUCUUCUGCACUAGGGCCGGGCUUUCGAUUGUUGUCCUUAUGCCAUGCAGAGUUUGCUUCUUCUAUGUACUUGGCAGUCCUCUCUUG
rnacentral:misc_RNA from 1 species